UACGUAGGGGGCAAGCGUUGUCCGGAUUCAUUGGGCGUAAAGAGCUCGUAGGCGGCUUGGCAAGUCGGGUGUGAAACCUCCAGCUCAACCUGGAGACGCCACCCGAUACUGCCAUGGCUAGAGUCCGGUAGGGGACCACGGAAUUCCUAGUGUAGCGGUGAAAUGCGCAGAUAUUAGGAAGAACACCCGUGGCGAAGGCGGCUCACUGGCCCGGUACUGACGCUGAGGUGGCGAAAGCGUGGGGAGCAAACAGGG
rnacentral:rRNA from 1 species